UAAUACCCUUCAUUGGAAUUUAUUGCCCAAGUCUAUAAAUAUCAUACAUAACAGUGUGAUUGGAAUCUAAGAAAAGAAAGAAUAAGAGUAUUGACAAAAACAUCUUUCAAAAUGGUGAAAUUUAUCUCAAAGUUGUUUCAAUUUUUUAUUAUUUUAGUUUUGGUUGCAGCUGUUUGGAACAUAGGAUUACAAUCAGUGGAGAGUGCAAAAUUACAACCACAGGAGGCAAAAGCAUGUAUAACACCUCUGGGAGCAUGUGGUCCAUUAGGGGAUUGUGCUGCUAGGUGCACAAAAGCAUUCCUUGAGGGAGAAGCGUCCUGCAAUUUGGGUUUAUGUAAUUGUGCUCAUUGGUGCGAUUGAAGGGUUUGAUGGAGAGAAUUUUUAGGAACAUAAUUUUAUUUUAAAUCUGGUUAUCAUAUAUUGUUUAUCUAUUACAUAAAUAAUAUAAUAAAGGCUCUAUAAUAAAUAAUAAAUAAAUUUGUUUGUUAUUUA